rnacentral:rRNA from 1 species
UGGGAAUAUUGCACAAUGGGCGCAAGCCUGAUGCCAGCCAUGCCGCGUGUGUGGAGAAGGCCUUCGGGUUGUAAAGCACUUUCAGCGAGGAGGAAGGUGGUGAACUUAAUACGUUCAUCAAUUGACGUUACUCGCAGAAGAAGCACCGGCUAACUCCGUGCCAGCAGCCGCGGUAAUACGGAGGGUGCAAGCGUUAAUCGGAAUUACUGGGCGUAAAGCGCACGCAGGCGGUUUGUUAAGUCAGAUGUGAAAUCCCCGGGCUCAACCUGGGAACUGCAUUUGAAACUGGCAAGCUAGAGUCUCGUAGAGGGGGUAGAAUUCCAGGUGUAGCGGUGAAAUGCGUAGAGAUCUGGAGGAAUACCGGUGGCGAAGGCGGCCCCCUGGANGAAGACUGACGCUCAGGUGCG